rnacentral:rRNA from 1 species
CCUACGGGAGGCAGCAGUAGGGAAUAUUGCUCAAUGGGGGAAACCCUGAAGCAGCAACGCCGCGUGGAGGAUGAAGGUUUUCGGAUUGUAAACUCCUUUUGUUAGAGAAGAUACUGACGGUAUCUAACGAAUAAGCACCGGCUAACUCCGUGCCAGCAGCCGCGGUAAUACGGAGGGUGCAAGCGUUACUCGGAAUCACUGGGCGUAAAGAGCGCGUAGGCGGGAUAGCAAGUCAGAUGUGAAAUCCUCGGGCUUAACCAUAGAACUGCAUUUGAAACUGUUAUUCUUGAGUAUUGGAGAGGUAGGUGGAAUUCUUGGUGUAGGGGUAAAAUGCGUAGAGAUUAGGAGGAAUACUAAUUGCGAAGGCGACCUGCUAGAACAUAACUGACGCUGAGGCGCGAAAGCGUGGGGAGCAAACAGGAUUAGAUACCCGUGUAGUC